CCUACGGGAGGCAGCAGUGGGGAAUAUUGCGCAAUGGGCGAAAGCCUGACGCAGCGACGCCGCGUGAGGGAUGAAGGUCUUCGGAUCGUAAACCUCUGUCAGCAGGGAAGAACGGUCACUGUGCUAAUCAGCAGUGAAUUGACGGUACCUGCAAAGGAAGCACCGGCUAACUCCGUGCCAGCAGCGGCGGUAAUACGGAGGGUGCGAGCGUUAAUCGGAAUUACUGGGCGUAAAGCGCUCGUAGGCGGUAUGUCAAGUCAAGGGUGAAAUCCCCGCGCUCAACGUGGGAACUGCCUUUGAAACAGGCAAACUGGAGUGUGUGAGAGGAUAGUGGAAGUCCAGGUGGAGGAGUGAAAGCCGUAGAUAUCUGGAGGAACAUCAGUGGCGGAGGCGACUAUCUGGCACAUAACUGACGCUGAGGAGCGAAAGCGUGGGUAGCAAACAGGAUUAGAUACCCGAGUAGUC
rnacentral:rRNA from 1 species